rnacentral:rRNA from 1 species
GAUAAACGCUGGCGGCGUGCCUAAUACAUGCAAGUCGAACGAGGAGUUCUUGUAGCAAUACGGGAACUUCCUAGUGGCGAAUGGGUGAGUAACGCGUUGGUGACCUACCCCAAAGAGAGGAAUAACUCCGGGAAACUGGAGCUAAUACCCCAUGUGGUUACCAGGGUUAGAGGCCUGGCAACUGAAGGAGCAAUCCACUUUGGGAGGGACCUGCGUCCCAUCAGCUUGUUGGUAGGGUAACGGCCUACCAAGGCUACGACGGGUAGGGGGCCUGAGAGGGUGGCCCCCCACACUGGCACUGAAACACGGGCCAGACACCUACGGGUGGCAGCAGUAGGGAAUAUUGCACAAUGGGCGAAAGCCUGAUGCAGCAACGCCGCGUGCGCGAUGAAGACCUUCGGGUUGUAAAGCGCUUUUCUGAAGGACGAGGAAGGACGGUACUUCAGGAAUAAGGAUCGGCUAACUACGUGCCAGCAGCCGCGGUAAUACGUAGGAUCCGAGCGUUAACCGAAUUUACUGGGCGUAAAGCGCGUGUGGGCGGUUUGAUAAGUUGGAUGUGAAAGCUCCCGGCUCAACUGGGAGAGGCCGUUCAAAACUAUCAGACUAGAGGACGGUAGAGGGAGGUAGAAUUCCCGGUGUAGUAGUGAAAUGCGUAGAUAUCGGGAGGAAUACCAGUGGCGAAGGCGGCCUCCUGGACCGUUCCUGACGCUCAGACGCGAAAGCUAGGGGAGCGAACGGGAUUAGAAACCCCGGUAGUCCUAGCUGUAAACGAUGGAUGCUAGGUGUAGGUGGUCCAAACCCCAUCUGUGCCAAAGUUAACGCGUUAAGCAUCCCGCCUGGGAAGUACGACCGCAAGGUUAAAACUCAAAGGAAUUGACGG